rnacentral:rRNA from 1 species
AAGUCGUACAAGGUUUCCGUAGGUGAACCUGCGGAAGGAUCAUUAACCUUUCAAAUCAGGGUGCGGCGCGGCCCCCGAGGAGCGGAAACAAUCCUUGGGAGGUAUGCGGGGGCUUCGAGCCCCCCAUUUACGCACGCACGACUGCCAUCCUUACUUUACGAGCACCUUCUGUUCUCCCUCGGCGGGGCAACCUGCCGUUGGAACCGAAUAAACUCUUUUUGCAUCUAGCAUUACCUGUUCCGAAACAAACAAUCGUUACAACUUUCAACAAUGGAUCUCUUGGCUCUGGCAUCGAUGAAGAACGCAGCGAAAUGCGAUAAGUAGUGUGAAUUGCAGAAUUCAGUGAAUCAUCGAAUCUUUGAACGCACAUUGCGCCCCUCGGUAUUCCGUGGGGCAUGCCUGUUCGAGCGUCAUCUACACCCUCAAGCUCUGCUUGGUGUUGGGCGUCUGUCCCGCCUCCGCGCGUGGACUCGCCCCAAAUUCAUUGGCAGCGGUCCUUGCCUCCUCUCGCGCAGCACAUUGCGCUUCUCGAGGGGCUACGGCUCGCGUCCAACAAGCACAUUUACCGUCUUUGACCUCGGAUCAGGUAGGGAUACCCGCUGA